rnacentral:rRNA from 1 species
UACAGAGGUCUCAAGCGUUGUUCGGAUUCAUUGGGCGUAAAGGGUGCGUAGGUGGCGUCGUAAGUCGGGUGUGAAAUUUCGGAGCUUAACUCCGAAACUGCAUUCGAUACUGCGGUGCUUUGAGGACUGGAGAGGAGACUGGAAUUUACGGUGUAGCAGUGAAAUGCGUAGAGAUCGUAAGGAAGACCAGUGGCGAAGGCGGGUCUCUGGACAGUUCCUGACACUGAGGCACGAAGGCCAGGGGAGCAAACGGG